rnacentral:tRNA from 1 species
GGUUCCAUGGUAUAGUGGUUAGCACUGUAGACUUUGAAUCUGGCAACUUGGGUUCGAAUCCCGAUGGGACCU